rnacentral:rRNA from 1 species
AGAAUCAACGCUGGCGGCGUGCCUCAGACAUGCAAGUCGAACGAUUAAAGCUCCCUUCGGGGAGUGCAUAAAGUGGCGCACGGGUGAGUAACACGUAAGUAAUCUACCCUCGGGUGGGGAAUAACGUUCGGAAACGGACGCUAAUACCGCAUGAUGCAGCGGCACCGCAAGGUGACAGUUGUUAAAGAUUUAUUGCCUGGGGAGGAGCUUGCGGCAGAUUAGCUUGUUGGUAAGGUAACGGCUUACCAAGGCUACGAUCUGUAUCCGGUCUAAGAGGACGGUCGGACACACUGACACUGAAUAACGGGUCAGACUCCUACGGGAGGCAGCAGUCGGGAAUUUGGGCAAUGGGGGAAACCCUGACCCAGCAACGCCGCGUGAAGGAUGAAGUAUUUCGGUAUGUAAACUUCGAAAGAAUAGGAAGAAUUAAUGACGGUACUAUUUAUAAGGUCCGAUAACACGUGCCAACAGCCGC